AAGUCGUAACAAGGUUUCCGUAGGUGAACCUGCGGAAGGAUCAUUAUUGAAUUUAAAUUGGACAGGGUUGUAGCUGGCCUCCGGGCAUGUGCACACCUUGUUCAGUCCAACCUUCACACCUCUGUGCACUUCUCAUGGGUCGGGUCAAGUCUGAAAUAUUGACUAGGCCCUUCCUGUGUGUUUACCACAAACCAAUGUCUGUUUUAGAAUGUUAACACUGUGCAUGAAUGCAUAUAAUACAACUUUCAGCAACGGAUCUCUUGGCUCUC
rnacentral:misc_RNA from 1 species